rnacentral:rRNA from 1 species
AUUGAACGCUGGCGGCAGGCCUAACACAUGCAAGUCGACCGAGUGGCGGACGGGUGAGGAAUGUCUGGGAAACUGCCUGAUGGAGGGGGAUAACUACUGGAAAAGGUAGAUAAUACCGCAUAACAAAGGAUGGGCCCAGAUUGGAUUAGCUAGUAGGGGGGGUAAAGGCUCACCUAGGCGACGAUCCCUAGCUGGUCUGAGAGGAUGACCAGCCACACUGGAACUGAGACACGGUCCAGACUCCUACGGGAGGCAGCAGUGGGGAAUAUUGCACAAUGUGAGCAAGCCUGAUUCAGCCAUGCCGCGUGUAUGAAGAAGGCCUUCGGGUUGUAAAGUACUUUCAGCGGGGAGGCGUUACCCGCAGAAGAAGCACCGGCUAACCCCGUGCCAGCAGCCGCGGUAAUUC